AGUCCCGCGGUCCCGCCCGCUGUGGGGAGGGCGGCUCGGGGCGACCCAGCGUGGCCGGCCACCUGCGACAGGUGGCCGCACGUCUCGGGGAGACCUGGGCCUCGGAAGCGCGGACGGAGCGAAGGCGCCACGGAAACCCAUUAGUCUUCCUCGGCGGUGGUCGAAACUUGCUGGCGGUUUCUUGGUCACCUUUCCCGUUUCCCCUUUCAAAAGGGAUGAAGAGGAAGGUUAUCAAGGCUUAGGGCCGGAGCACCCACGGUAGUCACCAAGUGUGGAGUCCAGGGAACAGUUUGUCCUGAAGGGAGGUUCAAGGAGACUGGAGAAUGAAACAGCAGGUGCAUUCUGGGAUGCUUUUAUCCUAAUAAAACUCCUCCAAAGACUUCGCUGUUUUCCCUCUGCUCGAUAGUCAGGAUCUGGUUUCAGACCUGCCACCCCAUUCUCUCAGCAACACCUCCCUGCUUGGUGCUUGUCCCCAGCUGAACUCCAUCCAUUUCUAUCAUGUUUUAGCCUGUCGGAAGUCGAUCUCUGUGACCAAGCCUAUGUGCUUACUGACUGCUGUAGUUUGGAUUGUGUUCCCCAAAAGAUAUGUUGAAAUCUUGAACCCAGUACCUUAUUGGAGAGAGGGUCUUUGCAGAUGUAAUUGAGUUAAGAUGAGGUCAUCAGGGCAGGUCCUAACCCAAUAUGAUUGAUGUCUUUAUAAGAAGAAAAGACAGAGACACAGAGGGAGAAGACGGCCAUGUGAUGACAGAGACCAAGGUUGGAAUGAUGCAUCUACCAGCCAAGGAACACCAAGGAUUGUCAGCAAACACCAGAAGCUAGAAGAAACGAGGAAGGAUCCCCUACAGGUUUCAGAGGGCAUAUGGCCCUACCAACAUCU